AUGGCUGCCAUCGGCUUUUCCGUAAGAAAACUCGAUGAAACAGAACAAUUUCCUGAAGGGUUCAGAAUUGCAGCCAGCAAGACUUAGCAGGAUACCAGGAAGAUGUUCAUUGGGGGACUAUCCCAUAAUUUCGUAAGCCAGCUCUUCUCUAAUACUUGUCUCAAUUUGGCAAGAUCUUACACUUCACGAUUAAAACCUUCUCAGACACUGAGCUAUUCAGGGGGUUUGGAUUUGUACUUUUCAAAGAUAGUGACACUGUUGAAAAGGUGCUCCAAGUGAAACAGCACAAAUCAGAUGACAAGAAAAUAGAUUGUAAAAGGGCUAACACAAUGCAACCUAGAUUCCCCCCUAAAAAGGUUUUUGUGGGUGGGGUGAACCCU
rnacentral:lncRNA from 1 species